rnacentral:rRNA from 1 species
AAUCAACGCUGGCGGCGUGCCUAACACAUGCAAGUCGAGCGAGAAAAGGGGGGCAACUCCCUGAGUACAGCGGCGCACGGGUGAGUAACACGUGGGUGAUCUGCCCUGAAGUGGGGAAUAACACCGGGAAACCGGUGCUAAUACCGCAUAUGAUCACGAUGUCUGCGGACGUAGUGAUGAAAGGAGCAAUUCGCUUCAGGAGGAGCCCGCGGCUGAUUAGCUAGUUGGUGAGGUAAUGGCUCAACAAGGCAACGAUCAGUAUCCGGUCUGAGAGGACGGUCGGACACACCGGAACUGAGACACGGUCCAGACUCCUACGGGAGGCAGCAGUGGGGAAUUUUUCGCAAUGGGGGAAACCCUGACGAAGCAACGCCGCGUGGGUGAUGAAGUCUCUUGGGACGUAAAGCUCUGUUGUUAGGGAAGAACAAGUACGAGAGUAACUGCUCGUACCUUGACGGUACCUAACCAGAAAGCCACGGCUAACUACGUGCCAG